UGGGGAAUUUUGGACAAUGGGCGAAAGCCUGAUCCAGCAAUGCCGCGUGUGUGAAGAAGGCCUUCGGGUUGUAAAGCACUUUUGUCCGGAAAGAAAUCCUUGGCUCUAAUACAGUCGGGGGAUGACGGUACCGGAAGAAUAAGCACCGGCUAACUACGUGCCAGCAGCCGCGGUAAUACGUAGGGUGCAAGCGUUAAUCGGAAUUACUGGGCGUAAAGCGUGCGCAGGCGGUUUGCUAAGACCGAUGUGAAAUCCCCGGGCUCAACCUGGGAACUGCAUUGGUGACUGGCAGGCUAGAGUAUGGCAGAGGGGGGUAGAAUUCCACGUGUAGCAGUGAAAUGCGUAGAGAUGUGGAGGAAUACCGAUGGCGAAGGCAGCCCCCUGGGCCAAUACUGACGCUCAUGCACGAAAGCGUGGGGAGCAAACAGGAUUAGAUACCCUGGUAGUCCACGCCCUAAACGAUGUCAACUAGUUGUUGGGGAUUCAUUUCCUUAGUAACGUAGCUAACGCGUGAAGUUGACCGCCUGGGGGAGUACGGUCGCAAGAUUAAACUCAAAUGAAUUGACGGGGUCAUAGCUGUUUCCU
rnacentral:rRNA from 1 species